CGAAUGGGGAGAUUCAUCGUCAAUAUGUUUAAUAUUAAUAUAUUAUAUGAUAUGUUAAAUUUUUUUAAUUUUAUAUUUUAAAAAUUUUUUCAUACAUAUAUAUAUUAUUUUAUUGUUUUACAUUGUCGGCGUGCACUUCUCCCCUAGUAGGACAUCGCGACCCGUUAGAUGUUGGUUUACGACCAAAUUGGGUAGACUUUAUAUGUAUUUUUUUAUACACUUGAAGACCAAUUUGUGUUUUCUAACCAAGUAUUUGACGGUAAACGUAUGGUAUUAAGUCGCAUUUUAAUAUAUUUAUGCGUUCUCUACCCGUCGCAAGCGAGGCUUUUUUUAUUAGUUUACAGAUUUUAUGCUGUCUAAUAAAAAUUUAGCCAGCUGUUGGCUGUUUACGGUGUUCUAGAACUGACUUAUUUAAAAAAAAUACCUGUCGGCGAUGCUAUUGCUUUGGGUACUUUCAGGACCCGUCUUGAAACACGGACCAAGGAGUCUAACAUGUAUGCAAGUCAUUGGGAUUAUUUUUCAUUUAUGAAAAAUAAAUAUAAUUAAACCUAAAGGCGUAAUGAAAGUAAAAAUUGUACUUGUACAAUUAAUGGGAAGAUAAUUUAUAUUACGAUAUAAAUUCGCAUUCCCAGGGCAUCUCAUUUUUAUAUUUAUAUAAAAAGAGGUGCACCUAGAGC
rnacentral:rRNA from 1 species